UACGGCCUCAUCAAAAUGAAACACCAGUUCCCGUAUGAUUAUCGAAGUUAAGCAAUAUCGAACUUGGUCAGUAUCUAGAUGGGAGACGGCUUGGGAAUAUCAAGUGCUGUAAU